UUUUGAUUUGAUCCUGGCUCAGAGCGAACGCUGGCGGCAGGCUUAACACAUGCAAGUCGAACGGGCACUUCGGUGCUAGUGGCAGACGGGUGAGUAACACGUGGGAACGUACCUUUCGGUUCGGAAUAAUUCAGGGAAACUUGGACUAAUACCGGAUACGCCCUUCGGGGGAAAGAUUCAUCGCCGAUAGAUCGGCCCGCGUCUGAUUAGCUAGUUGGUGAGGUAAUGGCUCACCAAGGCGACGAUCAGUAGCUGGUCUGAGAGGAUGAUCAGCCACACUGGGACUGAGACACGGCCCAGACUCCUACGGGAGGCAGCAGUGGGGAAUAUUGGACAAUGGGCGCAAGCCUGAUCCAGCCAUGCCGCGUGAGUGAUGAAGGCCUUAGGGUUGUAAAGCUCUUUUGUCCGGGAAGAUAAUGACUGUACCGGAAGAAUAAGCCCCGAU
rnacentral:rRNA from 1 species